rnacentral:lncRNA from 1 species
AGAUGAAAAAAUCGUUUCCCAAAAAAAAUACUUUUUCCUUUUCAGCCCUUAGUAAUGAUUCUAAUUCCCCCCAAAAAAAAAUAUGUAAUUAAUCUUACACUACUCCACGAUAUAAUUGAAUCGGAAACGAAAUAUAAUUUUGCAUCGGUGGGUAAAGUUGUUGUUACUUUAAAAAAAGAAAAAAAAGAUAUAUGGAAUAGAUUAUUGUUAUCUAAAGAGAAAAAUCCCAAUAUGCAUGUUUGGUGGGACAUGAAAGAAAAGUAUCAAGAUAGCAUUGACGAGUUUUUAAAAGAACAAGAGAACAAGGAAACAGAAGAAACGGAAAAGGAAAAAAA